GACGAACGCUGGCGGCGUGCCUAAUACAUGCAAGUAGAACGCUGAAGGAGGAGCUUGCUUCUCCGGAUGAGUUGCGAACGGGUGAGUAACGCGUAGGUAACCUGCCUGGUAGCGGGGGAUAACUAUUGGAAACGAUAGCUAAUACCGCAUAAUAGUAGAUGUUGCAUGACAUUUACUUAAAAGGUGCAAUUGCAUCACUACCAGAUGGACCUGCGUUGUAUUAGCUAGUUGGUGGGGUAACGGCUCACCAAGGCGACGAUACAUAGCCGACCUGAGAGGGUGAUCGGCCACACUGGGACUGAGACACGGCCCAGACUCCUACGGGAGGCAGCAGUAGGGAAUCUUCGGCAAUGGACGGAAGUCUGACCGAGCAACGCCGCGUGAGUGAAGAAGGUUUUCGGAUCGUAAAGCUCUGUUGUAAGAGAAGAACGAGUGUGGGAGUGGAAAGUUCACACUGUGGCGGUAUCUUACCAGAAAGGGACGGCUAACUACGUGCCAGCAGCCGCGGUAAUACGUAGGUCCCGAGCGUUGUCCGGAUUUAUUGGGCGUAAAGCGAGCGCAGGCGGUUAGAUAAGUCUGAAGUUAAAGGCUGUGGCUUAACCAUAGUACGCUUUGGAAACUGUUUAACUUGAGUGCAAGAGGGGAGAGUGGAAUUCCAUGUGUAGCGGUGAAAUGCGUAGAUAUAUGGAGGAACACCGGUGGCGAAAGCGGCUCUCUGGCUUGUAACUGACGCUGAGGCUCGAAAGCGUGGGGAGCAAACAGG
rnacentral:rRNA from 1 species